rnacentral:misc_RNA from 1 species
GAUGAAGAACGUAGCGAAAUGCGAUAAGUAGUGUGAAUUGCAGAAUUCAGUGAAUCAUCGAAUCUUUGAACGCACAUUGCGCCCCUUGGUAUUCCAUGGGGCAUGCCUGUUCGAGCGUCAUUUGUACCCUCAAGCUUUGCUUGGUGUUGGGCGUCUUGUCGUAUUACGACUCGCCUUAAAUACAUUGGCAGCCGGCACUUUGGCCUAGGAGCGCAACACAUUUUGCGAUCGUAGCCCGUUGUACUGGCGUCCAUCAAGAACAUUUACCACGUUUGACCUCGGAUCAGGUAGGGAUACCCGCUGAACUUAAGCAUAUCAAUAAGCGGAGGA